rnacentral:rRNA from 1 species
CCUACGGGAGGCAGCAGUGGGGAAUAUUGCACAAUGGGGGGAACCCUGAUGCAGCGACGCCGCGUGGGUGAAGGAGUAUUUCGGUAUGUAAAGCCCUAUCAGCAGGGAAGAACAAUGACGGUACCUGACUAAGAAGCACCGGCUAAAUACGUGCCAGCAGCCGCGGUAAUACGUAUGGUUCAAGCGUUAUCCGGAUUUACUGGGUGUAAAGGGAGCGCAGGCGGCGCGUUAAGCCUGGUGUGAAAGUCCGCGGCCCAACCGCGGGACUGCAUUGGGAACUGGCGCGCUGGAGUGCCGGAGGGGUAGGCGGAAUUCCUAGUGUAGCGGUGAAAUGCGUAGAUAUUAGGAGGAACACCAGUGGCGAAGGCGGCCUACUGGACGGUGACUGACGCUGAGGCUCGAAAGCGUGGGGAGCAAACAGGAUUAGAUACCCCAGUAGUC